GACGAACGCUGGCGGCGUGCUUAACACAUGCAAGUCGGGGGGCGGGGUAAUCCGUCCCCGGCGAUCGGGUGCGGAACACGUGAGCGACCUGCCCUGGUGUGGGGGAUAGCCGGUCCAACGGCCGGGUAAUACCGCAUACGGCGCCCGCUCCGCAUCGGGAGUCGAAGCUCGCACGAGGCGCUAUGAGGGGCUGGCCGCCUGUCAGCUCGUUGGUGCGGUAACGGCGCAGCGAGGCGAUGACGGGUAGAUGGCCUGAGAGGAUGGCCAGUCACAUUGGGACGGAGAGACGGCCCAGGCUAGUCCGGGAGGCGGAAGAGGGGACUAUUGCGGAAUGGGCGAAAGAGUGACGCAGCGACGGCGAGGGAAGGAUGAGGGCCUUAGGGGUGUAAAGUCGUGUUGGACGAGAAGAAUGCCACGCAUCGGCGGGGUUGACGGUACCGGGUGAGGAAGCACCGGCUAACUCUGUG
rnacentral:rRNA from 1 species